rnacentral:snRNA from 1 species
AAGUGCUACAUCUCUUUCAGAAUUUGUCUAGCAGAUUUUCCAGUCCUCACCUGAAGACUACCCCC